rnacentral:rRNA from 1 species
UCAAGCUACUAAGGGCGUACGGUGAAUGUCUUGGCGUCAAGAGGCGAUGAAGGACGCGGGAAACUGCGAUAAGCCCGGGCGAGCCGUUAACCAGGCGUCGACCCCGGGAUCUCCGAAUGGGGAAACCCGGCCACUUUGUGGUCAUCCUCUGCUGAAUGUAUAGGCAGUGGAAGCGAACUCAGAGAACUGAAACAUCUCAGUACCUGAAGGAAUAGAAAGAAACCUCGAUCCCGUCAGUAGCGGCGAGCGAAAUCGGGACAGCCCAAACCGGUCUUCGGACCGGGGUUGUGGACUCCAAUGUGGGACUUCGAAAGCAGCGCGAACGGCCUGGGAAGGCCGGCCAAAGAGGGUGACAGCCCUGUAGCGUGUCGCGAUUAGGAGCCCUAGGAGCACCAGAGUAGCGCGGAGCUCGUGAAACUCCGCGUGAAGCUGCGGGGCCCACCCCGCAAGGCUAAAUACUCCUUGACGACCGAUAGUUAACCAGUAGGUUGACUGAAAGAUGAAAAGUUCCCCGACAAGGGAAGUGAAAUAGUACCUGAAACCGUACGCUUACAAGCGGUCGGAGCCCGUCUUCGGACGGGUGACGGCGUGCCUUUUGCAUAAUGAGCCGGCGAGUUGAUCUCCGUGGCAAGGUUAAGGCGUAUACCGCCGAAGCCGAAGGGAAACCGAGUGUGAAUAGCGCGACAAGUCGCGGGGAUCAGACGCGAAACUGAGUGAUCUACCCAUGGCCAGGUUGAAGGGAGGGUAACACCUCCUGGAGGACCGAACACGUUAACGUUGAAAAGUUAUGUGAUGAGCUGUGGGGAGGAGUAAAAGUCUAAUCAAACUCAGAGAUAUCUCGUUCUCCUCGAAAUAGUUUUUGGGCUAGCCUCGCGCGAUCCCCUGUAGGGGUAGAGCUACUGAUUGGAGAUGGGGGGCUACCCGCCUACCCACUCCAUCCAAACUCCGAAUACUACAGGAUUACAGCGCGGGAGUCAGAAUGCGGGGGAUAAUCUCCGCGUUCAAGAGGGCAACAACCCAGAUCGCCAGCUAAGGUCCCCAAACACAUCUCAGUUCUAAAGGAAGUCAGGGUGCCGUGACAGCCAGGAUGUUGGCUUAGAAGCAGCCAUCAUUUAAAGAGUGCGUAAUAGCUCACUGGUCGAGGACUCUGGCGCCGAUAAUGAUCGGGAAUAAGAUGUGUACCGAAGCUGCGAACCUGCAUAGCAGGUGGUAGAGGAGCGUUCCUGACAGCGAAGAAGCGGCCCGGGCAACGGAGCCGUGGAGCGUCAGGAAGCGAUUAUGCCGGCUUGAGUAACGAUUAAGCGGGUGAAAAUCCCGCUCGCCGAAUGCCUAAGGUUUCCUGGGGUAGGUAAAUCCGCCCAGGGUUAGUCGGACCCUAAGACGAGGCCGAAAGGCGUAGUCGAUGGACAGCAGGUUAAUAUUCCUGCACUCCGAUGGAUUAGAAGCAGCGUGACGGAUCGAGAAGGUCAUGCGGCCCGCCAGUUCGGGCCGUUGCCGCAAGGCUAAGGGCUUGGGUCCCGAUGAUGGCUCGACCGAUUCCCAGAAACAGCGUCUGUGGAUCCCCAUUGGACCCGUACUAAAACUGACACAGGUAGGCAUGGUGAAUAACCUCAGGCGCUCGAGAGAAUGGUAGUUAAGGAACUAGGCAAAUUCACCCCGUAAGUUCGCGAUAAGGGGGCCCUCCCUCGCAAGAGAAGGGCGCAGAGAAAAGGCUCCAGCGACUGUUUAUCAAAAACACAGGACCGUGCUAACUCGCAAGAGGAUGUAUACGGUCUGACGCCUGCUCGAUGCCGGAAUGUCACGGAAGCAGGUCAGGGUCUUCGGACUCGAAGCUUGCGACCUAAGCACCGGUCAAUGGCGGCAGUAACUAUGACUGUCCUAAGGUAGCGAAGUUCCUUGUCGGGUAAGUUCCGACGCGCAUGAAUGGCGCCACGACUGGAGCACUGUCUCAACUACCAACUCGGUGAAAUAGAAGACGCGGUGAAGAUACCGUGUACCCGCAGCAAGACGGAAAGACCCCGUGGACCUUUACUGCAGGCUGUUACUGGCCGUUAUUGUGAACUGCGCAGGAUAGGUGGGAGGCUUUGAAGCCCUCGUUUCGGCGAGGGUGGAGCCACCCUUGAGAUACCACCCUGUUCUCAGUGACGACCUAACUCCGACCCGUGAAUCCGGGCGGAAGACCAUGAUAGUUGGGCAGUUUGACUGGGGCGGUCUCCUCCUAAAAAGUAACGGAGGAGCGCAAUGGUCGGCUUAGCACGGUUGGAAACCGUGUGUCAAGUGUAAGGGCACAAGCCGGCUUUACUGUGAGACAGACUCGUCGAACAGUUACGAAAGUAGGCCCUAGUGAUCCGGUAGUCCCGUGUGGAAGGGCUAUCGCUCAACGGAUAAAAGGUACCCCGGGGAUAACAGGCUGAUCGCCUCCGAGCGUCCAUAGCGGCGAGGCGGUUUGGCACCUCGAUGUCGGCUCGUCACAUCCUGGGGCUGAAGGCGGUCCCAAGGGUUGGGCUGUUC